UAGGGAAUCUUCCGCAAUGGGCGAAAGCCUGACGGAGCAACGCCGCGUGAGUGAUGAAGGUCUUCGGAUCGUAAAACUCUGUUAUUAGGGAAGAACAAAUGUGUAAGUAACUAUGCACGUCUUGACGGUACCUAAUCAGAAAGCCACGGCUAACUACGUGCCAGCAGCCGCGGUAAUACGUAGGUGGCAAGCGUUAUCCGGAAUUAUUGGGCGUAAAGCGCGCGUAGGCGGUUGUUUAAGUCUGAUGUGAAAGCCCACGGCUCAACCGUGGAGGGUCAUUGGAAACUGGAAAACUUGAGUGCAGAAGAGGAAAGUGGAAUUCCAUGUGUAGCGGUGAAAUACGCAGAGAUAUGGAGGAACACCAGUAGCGAAGGCGACUUUCUGGUCUGUAACUGACGCUGAUGUGCGAAAGCGUGGGGAUCAAACAGG
rnacentral:rRNA from 1 species